rnacentral:sRNA from 1 species
GAUUUGCAGAUUUCCUUUGAAAAAUGUAUUGCUGACGUGUUUGAAAUUAAACUUUCUUACAUAAAUCUUCAUUGUUUUAGUUUCUUUUUGGAAGUACUGGAUUUAGCUUAUAAAUUAUAUAAGAAUAUAAAGUAAGUAUAGCAUAUUGUUAGAAUUUUCUUCUUUUCUUUUUCAGGCUCAAACUGCUUUUUCUGCAAACCCUGCCAAUCCAGCAAUUUUGUCAGAAGCUUCUGCUCCUAUCCCUCACGAUGGAAAUCUCUAUCCCAGACUGUAUCCGGAGCUCUCUCAAUACAUGGGGCUGAGUUUAAAUGAAGAAGAAAUACGUGCAAAUGUGGCCGUGGUUUCUGGUGCACCACUUCAGGGGCAGUUGGUAGCAAGACCUUCCAGUAUAAACUAUAUGGUGGCUCCUGUAACUGGUAAUGAUGUUGGAAUUCGUAGAGCAGAAAUUAAGCAAGGGAUUCGUGAAGUCAUUUUGUGUAAGGAUCAAGAUGGAAAAAUUGGACUCAGGCUUAAAUCAAUAGAUAAUGGUAUAUUUGUUCAGCUAGUCCAGGCUAAUUCUCCAGC